AGUGAACGCUGGCGGCGUGCCUAAUACAUGCAAGUCGAACGGAGUGGCGCACGGGUGAGUAAUAUAUAGCUAAUCUGCCCCUUGCUGGAGGACAACAGUUAGAAAUGACUGCUAAUACUCCAUAGCAAGGGAUGAGACUAUAUCGUAUCAGCUAGUCGGUGGGGUAACGGCCUCCCGAGGCUAUGACGCGUAACUGGUCUGAGAGGAUGAUCAGACACAUUGGGGCUGAGACACGGUCCAAACUCCUACGGAAAGGAGCAGUAGGGGAUAUUGCGCAAUGGGGGAAAUCCUGACGACGCACCGGCGCGUGAAGGAUGACACUUUUCGGGGAGUAAACUCCUUUUGUUAGGGAAUCGGUACCUAACGAAUAAGCAACGGCUAACUCCGUGCCAGCAGCCGCGGUAAUUC
rnacentral:rRNA from 1 species